UACGUAGGGAGCGAGCGUUGUCCGGAUUCAUUGGGCGUAAAGAGCUCGUAGGCGGCUUGGUAAGUCGGAUGUGAAACCUCCAGGCUCAACCUGGAGUCGCCAUCCGAUACUGCCAUGGCUAGAGUCCGGUAGGGGCCCACGGAAUUCCUGGUGGUAGCGGUGGAAAUGACGCAGAGUAUCAGGAGGAACACCGAUGGCGAAGGCAGUGGGCUGGG
rnacentral:rRNA from 1 species